rnacentral:rRNA from 1 species
UACGUAGGUGGCGAGCGUUGUCCGGAAUUACUGGGCGUAAAGGGUGCGUAGGUGGAUAUUUAAGUCAGAUGUGAAACUCCCGGGCUUAACCUGGGAACUGCAUUUGAAACUGGACAUCUAGAGUGCAGGAGAGGAAAGCGGAAUUCCUAGUGUAGCGGUGAAAUGCGUAGAUAUUAGGAAGAACACCAGUGGCGAAGGCGGCUUUCUGGACUGUAACUGACACUGAGGCACGAAAGCGUGGGGAGCAAAC